CAAUAUGCGGGCUGUCCAAGAGCAUAGCCGAAGGAUGUGUUCCACGGUUUCAACUUCCUGUUUGCAUAGAGGGCAUAUUGGGUCAGGUGAAUGUGCAUCAUUUGCUUUCCAAGUCCAUCAGAGAGCAUUGGUGCAAAAAGUCUCUGAAGGCUGUGAGACGAAUGUUCUGUUUUCCAUAGAAGAUUUUCCUGUAUGGAGCUCUUAACCAGUGCCCAAAUCCUCCUGGUAAGUUUUUAGCUAGUCUUGAAUUCUAAUAAGGUAUUUCUUUACAAAAUGUGGCAUAGUGGCCAAUUUUCCCACAUGAAUAACAGUAACGCGGAAGUCUCUCAUAUUUAAACUCAACCCACAGCCUCUUGCUAUCUAGAUUCACAAUAACUCCAGCCUUCAGAGGGUUUUCCAGAUUCAACUUUACUUUUGCCUUGCCAAUCCUAUAGUUGCUGUUUCCCUUUGCUUCUAAUUUCACUUCUGUUACUUCACCCAGCUUUGAUGCAAUGUCUCUAACAAUUUCAUUUGUAACUCUCCCAAAGGGAAUGCCAGCAAAGUGUACCAAAAAGGCACAAUGGUUCAAUUCAUAACACAUCUCAGGAGUGUCGGGGUCACAUUGUUGUAAUACUAGCAGGUUACUAGAGAAAGACCAUGGUCCAGAGUCAAAAACUCUUUGUUUGUCAGCUUCCGAUUGGAAAGAGAAAGAAAAGUAGCUAGGCUCCAUUACUGUACAUGUAAAAUUUUCAGUUCUCCAAGCUCUUUUCAUAGUAUUGAUAUGGUCUGAAGAAGAUGUGGUAGAUGUUACAGGUGCUAUUUUCGAAAGGAAUCUGUUAGAAUGUCGAAAAACUCUGUUUGGGAAAUUUUUCUCCAAGCCAAAUGUCAACUAUGCAGCUCUUGUAGAGGGCAGCAACCCCUUUCUCUUCCUCAUAUUGAUUUGCCAUCUUUUGUUUUCUGGGAAC